rnacentral:rRNA from 1 species
GGGGGAAUCCGGGGAAGCAUUAAGAAGAUAGUGCCCCCCUUGUGGUCGGUAUACAGGUGGUGCAUGGCUGUCGUCAGCUCGUGUCGUGAGAUGUUGGGUUAAGUCCCGCAACGAGCGCAACCCUUGUCCUGUGCUGCCAGCAUGCCCUUCGGGGUGAUGGGGACUCACAGGAGACCGCCGGGGUCAACUCGGAGGAAGGUGGGGACGACGUCAAGUCAUCAUGCCCCUUAUGUCUUGGGCUGCACACGUGCUACAAUGGCCGGUACAAUGAGCUGCGAUACCGUGAGGUGGAGCGAAUCUCAAAAAGCCGGUCUCAGUUCGGAUUGGGGUCUGCAACUCGACCCCAUGAAGUCGGAGUUGCUAGUAAUCGCAGAUCAGCAUUGCUGCGGUGAAUACGUUCCCGGGCCUUGUACACACCGAAU